UGGGGAAUCUUGCACAAUGGGGGAAACCCUGAUGCAGCGACGCCGCGUGAACGAUGAAGCCCUUCGGGGUGUAAAGUUCUUUCGACGGGGACGAUAAUGACGGUACCCGGAGAAGAAGCUGCGGCUAACUACGUGCCAGCAGCCGCGGUAAUACGUAGGCAGCAAGCGUUGUUCGGAAUUACUGGGCGUAAAGAGUGCGUAGGCGGUUGACUAAGUUUGGUGUGAAAUCUCCCGGCUUAACUGGGAGGGUGCGCCGAAAACUGGCCAGCUAGAGUGUGGGAGAGGAUAGUGGAAUUCCUGGUGUAGCGGUGAAAUGCGUAGAUAUCAGGAGGAACACCUGCGGUGUAGACGGCUAUCUGGACCAUGACUGACGCUGAGGCACGAAAGCGUGGGUAGCAAACAGG
rnacentral:rRNA from 1 species